CGCCGCUCGGCCGCGGCCUCGUCGCCGGGGCCAGGCUCGUGCAGGGGCACAGCCGCCCCGUGCCACUCAGCCUGGCCCCGGAGGGACCUAGGGCCUGGCCGAGGGGGGCUUUGCGCCGCUCCGCCGGUCCCUGGGGCUGAGCCACGGGUGUACGGCGGGCAUACCGCGCGCGGCUGAAAUGAGCGGGGAAACAGCUUUUGCGGGUUACUGCCAUGUUAUUCCUCCCCCCUUUUUUUAACUUGCCACAGAAAAUCGCUUCCUAAGUCCGCCCAUGUAAACAAAAUUCACUCUCAUCAUCAUUAGGAAACUUUUAGGUUUGUGCUAAUAUGUUAAGCCCGUUUACCACAACUUCCCGAAACCUGGAAACAUUUCCAAUCACGCAAAACGUAUUUACUUCAAAGAUUUUUAAGCAUCUUGAAACAGGGACUGUCCUUGAGACUUCUGGAAGGCAUGUGGGAUGAAGGGUGUGCAGAGGAAUUAAAUGAGUGCCACCUCAGGCUCUGCAUCAAAUACCAGAAGCCCCAAGUCUUGGCACAUGCAGCAUUUUCAGGAGAAGAAUUGCAAACAGAACAGAAAUGUGCUUCUGCCACUGUAUGGUUCAGAGUAUUCCUGUAAGGUGAAGACGGAGAGGACAAGUUUCUGGUCUCUCAGGCUGCAGCAAGGAUGCAGUACACCCAGAAGGGCGUGA
rnacentral:lncRNA from 1 species